GCCCAUCUUCCUGUUGCUGAUGUUGAUUUUGACUUUGUCCUUCUCGUUCUGCGGCCAUCUAUAUAUAUAGUCAAAUAAAUUUAAUAAAUAUAAUGAAUUUAGUAAUAAUCAAUAUUUUAAUAAUAAAUAAAGUACGCACUUUCUUAUACGCCAUUUCAAACAACUUAAGACUAGCUUGUUGUAAUUCAUUUGUCUGUCUCUUGAUCUCUUCUGGUUCCGUAUCGUCUUUCUUAGCUAAUGUUUCUCGCAUUUUUGCAACCAAUUCUCUGAGUUUCCUUACUUCGUCUUGUGGCAAUUGUGCUUUAAAUUCCUCCAAUUUGGAUUCUGUAUCGUGAAUGAUUCCCUCAGCUUGAUUCACAGCUUCAACUCUUUCUUUUUUUAUUUUAUCUUGCUUGGCAUAUUGUUCAGCAUUUUUCACCAUGUUUUCAAUUUCAUCUUUACUAAGACCGCCACUUGAUUGAAUAACGACUGUAAAUAAAAAAUAAAAAUUGAAUAAAUAAAAUAAUUUUGUUUGUGUGUA
rnacentral:misc_RNA from 1 species